GACGUAGGAUGCAAGCGUUGUCCGGAAUUAUUGGGCGUAAAGAGUUCGUAGGCGGUUUCUUAAGUCUGGUGUUAAAGACGGGAGCUCAACUCCCGCAUGGCAUUGGAUACUGGGAAGCUAGAGUGUGGUAGAGGUCUCGGGAAUUCCAGGUGUAGCGGUGAAAUGCGUAGAUAUCUGGAGGAACACCGGUGGCGAAAGCGCGAGACUGGGCCAUAACUGACGCUGAGGAACGAAAGCCAGGGGAGCGAAAGGG
rnacentral:rRNA from 1 species